rnacentral:rRNA from 1 species
UCGGGAAUAUUGCGCAAUGGAGGAAACUCUGACGCAGUGACGCCGCGUGCAGGAAGAAGGUUUUCGGAAUGUAAACUAUUGUCGUUAGGGAAGAGAAAGGACAGUACCUAAGGAGGAAGCUCCGGCUAACUACGUGCCAGCAGCCGCGGUAAUACGUAGGGAGCGAGCGUUAUCCGGAAUUAUUGGGUGUAAAGGGUGCGUAGACGGGAAAACAAGUUAGUUGUGAAAUCCCUCGGCUUAACUGAGGAACUGCAACUAAAACUAUUUUUCUUGAGUGCAGGAGAGGUAAGUGGAAUUCCUAGUGUAGCGGUGAAAUGCGUAGAUAUUAGGAGGAACACCAGUGGCGAAGGCGACUUACUGGACUGUAACUGACGUUGAGGCACGAAAGUGUGGGGAGCAAACAGGAUUAGAUACC